UCUAGAACUCGAGAUAUGGGCUGAACACUAAAUAGUGUCUGGGCUGUAGGACAGAUUCUGACUUCUCCGUUGUUGCUGAACUCGAAAAUGACACUUUUAAAUCUUGGACUCAUCAUGAAAUUUUUAGGCCUAUGUCUUAGCUUUCCAUA
rfam:Populus trichocarpa scaffold_11_contig_435, whole genome shotgun sequence.